rnacentral:rRNA from 1 species
CCUACGGGCGGCUGCAGUGGGGAAUAUUGGACAAUGGGCGGAAGCCUGAUCCAGCAAUACCGCGUGUGUGAAGAAGGCCUGAGGGUUGUAAAGCACUUUCAAUAGGAAGGAAUACCUAUCCAUUAAUACUGGGUAGACUGACAUUACCUAUACAAGAAGCACCGGCUAACUCCGUGCCAGCAGCCGCGGUAAUACGGAGGGUGCAAGCGUUAGCCGGAAUUACGGGGCGUAAAGUCUGCAUAGCCGAUGCGAAAGCCCCGGGCUGAACCUGGGAAUGGCAUUUGAUACUGGCGAGCUAGAGUUGAGUAGAGGGGAGUGGAAUUUCAGGUGUAGCGGUGAAAUGCGUAGAGAUCUGAAGGAACACCAGUGGCGAAGGCGACUCCCUGGACUCAAACUGACGCUGAGGUACGAAAGCGUGGGGAGCAAACAGGAUUAGAUACCCGAGUAGUC